rnacentral:rRNA from 1 species
AGGACGAACGCUGGCGGCGUGCUUAACACAUGCAAGUCGAGCGGUAAGGCCCUUUCGGGGGUACACGAGCGGCGAACGGGUGAGUAACACGUGAGCAAUCUGCCCUUCACUUCGGGAUAAGCCUCGGAAACGGGGUCUAAUACCGGAUAUGACCGCGCUACGCAUGUGGUGUGGUGGAAAGUUUUGGCGGUGGAGGAUGAGCUCGCGGCCUAUCAGCUUGUUGGUGGGGUAAUGGCCUACCAAGGCUUCGACGGGUAGCCGGCCUGAGAGGGUGACCGGCCACACUGGGACUGAGACACGGCCCAGACUCCUACGGGAGGCAGCAGUAGGGAAUAUUGGACAA